UCACUGGUUUUGUGAUUACUAAU
rnacentral:miRNA from 1 species